GUAGUCCAUGCCGUAAACGUUGGGCACUAGGUGUGGGGACCAUUCCACGGUUUCCGCGCCGCAGCUAACGCAUUAAGUGCCCCGCCUGGGGAGUACGGCCGCAAGGCUAAAACUCAAAGGAAUUGACGGGGGCCCGCACAAGCGGCGGAGCAUGCGGAUUAAUUCGAUGCAACGCGAAGAACCUUACCAAGGCUUGACAUGUUCUCGAUCGCCGUAGAGAUACGGUUUCCCCCUUUGGGGCGGGUUCACAGGUGGUGCAUGGUUGUCGUCAGCUCGUGUCGUGAGAUGUUGGGUUAAGUCCCGCAACGAGCGCAACCCUCGUUCCAUGUUGCCAGCACGUCGUGGUGGGG
rnacentral:rRNA from 1 species